rnacentral:misc_RNA from 1 species
GAAACCCUCUCAUCAAACCUUCUUUUCUUUACUUUGUAGAGGAGGAUGGGCUUGAUGGAUGUUGAGUGUUGCCGUAGUUGGCUCACUUUAAAUCAAUCAGUUGGUUCAUUUACUUGAUGUGGAAUGACUUGAUGUGAUAAAUAAAAAGAGAUCAUCAAGGAAGUACAUACUUAGCUGUUUUGUUACUGCCAUGUCUUAUGUGAAUGAUAGCUUCUAACCAUCAAAUAUAUUAUUGGGAAACUGGUAAUAAUAUUUUCUUGAUU